rnacentral:rRNA from 1 species
GACGUAGGAGGCGAGCGUUGUCCGGAGUUACUGGGCGUAAAGCGCGCGCAGGCGGUCCUUUAAGUCUGAUGUGAAAGCCCUCGGCUCAACCGAGGAAGGUCAUUGGAAACUGGAGGACUUGAGUGCAGAAGAGGAAAGUGGAAUUCCAAGUGUAGCGGUGAAAUGCGUAGAGAUUUGGAGGAACACCAGUGGCGAAGGCGACUUUCUGGUCUGUAACUGACGCUGAGGCGCGAAAGGCGUGGGGAGCAAACAGG